rnacentral:tRNA from 1 species
AGGAAUAUAGUUAAUAAUAACAUUUGAUUUGCAUUCAAAAAGUAUUGGUUACCCAAUUUUUCUUAU